UCUCGUCUUCUUUUGGUGGAUGUUACUUUAGUAUCUUGUUUAUGCAUCUGUAUGUGCCAGUGGAGCCGCCUCAGGAUUUUUUUUCCGUACUAGAUUCGAUGGUUAGCCACCAAAUUCAGAACUUCACUUCCCCUACACAACAUCUCAUUACCCACCAAUAAUUCAUCACUCUUUAUUCUUUAACGGUAUCAACUUUAUAUACAUAUAUAUAAUACAUCCCUCUUUCUCCCUUCAAUCCUCGUAAAAACUCUCAGUAUGUUUGCCAGGUUUUGGCGUUCCAAUUCUGAUCUUUCAACACUUAAACAUGUUCACCUUAUCAAUUAGUGGGUGGAUAUUAAAAGAUAUCCUGAUGGGUUUUGUUUUUUGGUCUGUACUGGUACAGUUUGGGUGGGUCUGGUUUGUAUAGUUCCAUAAUGAUUCAUUGGGCUGGAAUGUUUUGCUUUCUCUAAUUCUUCUAUUCCUUUUCUUUACCUUUCCCUCGUGGUUAGCCUUCUUUUUUAAGGGUUAAGGUUUCUUGCAUGGGAAGAUCAUCAUCAGUUCACCAGCCAGUAUUGGCGGGUGCAGCAUCCUUAAGAUUCACAAACUUCAAGGGACGCUUUGUUUACUCUUACUCGAAGUUUUCUGUCUUGUGGGAAUCUUGAUGAUGCUGCAUCCGCAAAUAUGUGGCUACGCUCCACUUUUGAGUUUCAAAUAGACAAGCCUACAGUUUGAUCUGGCUGGUCUUUGUGAAUUCGAAAGGAUGAAGAUAACCAGGAAAUGUGAAGGUAACAGUACCAGUUCUUUCUUCUUCUUCUUCUGCUUCCUCCAGUUUGAUCCAUGCGGGCUUUCUGAUUUUCGAUUCUAUGUUACAACUCUGGUGUGGAAUGAGUUGAAAUGCUAACUGAGGGAAAUUUGAUGAAUGAACUGCUGCUGAUCAUGCUCGGUUUUGACAAAUACAAGCUAAACAGCAGUAAGCAGAGCUGAAGUUUGUGAGAUUCUUGCUUAUUCAUAUUUUCAUGAAUUAUUUAUGUACUGAUCUUUUUAUGUUGAAUAACCGUCAACUUCUACCAAUUAAAUUUAACGAUAAGAUUUUGAAAGAACCACUGAUAAUUAUACCAUUAUGAAUUAUCAUGUGUUCUUGCCUGUUAAAAUAUUGAUUUUUUCUAAAGCCACUGAGUCAGAACGCCUGAUAAAUACCAUUUAUUUCCUUUUUGUUCUAGUCCGAAAUCUAUCUAUGGCUUAUUGGCCAUUAAAGUCCUCUCUAGCUAGCUAACCAGCUUAAGGGACAUGGAAAACAAUACGGGAUUCAUGUCAAGUGAGUCUGUUUUCUGAAUCCUUUCCAUCGUUGGCACUCCGAUUCAUGUAUUUGUUACUCUCUGCCCAACAAUUUAAAAUCCUCACGGCUAUCAUAAUUAUGUGUUUUUAAGAUAAAUUUGUAGUUCUGCUGAUUGUUUGAUUCCUUAUAGCAAGCCAAUUUUGGCACAUAUAGCCAAAAAUAUUAGAAAUUAAAAGAUAUAUAUAUAUCAUGCUUUGUAGCACAAAGACUUGAGCAUUGCUAUAUAUAUUCUGGUAAAAGCAUCUUAGAUUUUUUUUUUUCACUCUUAACUAUGUUAAUGCUAUUUACUUUACCUAAAGAUAAGCUGUUGAAGUAUAUGGCUCAUACACUGAAGUAGGCAGAUGGAGGGUAAGAUUUUAGAAUGUAUAUGGGGAAGCCUUCUCAAAGAAACGAAAGGUUGUAAUCAGGAAGAAAUCCGAAACGAUGUGAUUCUUUUACAUGUGAUUCCAUAUUCUUCUUCUCAGUUGAUAAAACUACAUAUAUUCUGUAUGGGAAUUACUCAGCAUUACGUGAUUCUUUUAGUCUAGCAUAACACCAAGAAAUUUGAUGAAGAUAGUAUAGUUCUUCAAGUUUCAUUUUGGCAACUGCCAAAAGAAGGGAAAAAGGAAAAGAAAAGACCAAAGAAGAAGAGGAAGAAGAAGAGGAAUGGUGAUCCGGAGAUGAAAAUGGUUAUUAUAAAAGGGCAGAGGCUGAAUGUUUUCACAAAAAAAAAAUCUAAGAUGUGGCUUUCAGGUUCUGCUGAACCUCUAGUCUCCAUACCAUUUUAUUAGGAGCUUGGUCGGUGCAUGGCAAUUCCUUCGAGUUCAGAAUACAGAAUCUCAAGAAAAAAGAACGAAGUUUUUCAAGCUGUUGUAUUUAUUUUGCUGAGAAUUAUAUUUAACAGAACUCUGAUUGGAAUGGAGCAUUUGUAUGUUUAUAUCAUUAUAAACAAAUUAGAGAUUGUAACCU